rnacentral:rRNA from 1 species
UAAAGAUUCAUCGGCUGCGGAUGGCCAUGCGGCGCAUUAGCUAGUCGGCGGGGUAACGGCCCACCGGGGCGACGAUGCGUAGGGGUUCUGAGAGGAAGGUCCCCCACACUGGUACUGAGACACGGACCAGACUCCUACGGGAGGCAGCAGUGAGGAAUAUUGGUCAAUGGCCGGGAGGCUGAACCAGCCAAGUCGCGUGAGGGAAGACGGCCCUACGGGUUGUAAACCUCUUUUGUCAGGGAGCAAGGUGCAGGUCGGGACCUGCUGUGAGAGUACCUGAAGAAAAAGCAUCGGCUAACUCCGUGCCAGCAGCCGCGGUAAUACGGAGGAUGCGAGCGUUAUCCGGAUUUAUUGGGUUUAAAGGGUGUGCAGGCGGAGGCACAAGUCAGCGGUAAAAUCGCGGGGCUCAACCCCGCUCCGCCGUUGAAACUGUGUCCCUUGAGUGCGCGAAGGGUAGGCGGAAUGCGUGGUGUAGCGGUGAAAUGCAUAGAUAUCACGCAGAACUCCGAUCGCGAAGGCAGCCUACCGGCGCGCAACUGACGCUCAUGCACGAAAGCGUGGGUAUCGAACAGGAUUAGAUACCCUGGUAGUCCACGCAGUAAACGAUGAAUGCUAUCUGUCCGGCCGGAAUGACGGCUGG